UGCCUACGGGACUCCUCAUUCUUUCCUCUUCCCCACUUUUCUAAAGCCUUAUGGAGCAACGCCGCGUGGGUGAAGAAGGUCUUCGGAUCGUAAAACCCUGUUGUUAGAGAAGAAAGUGCGUGAGAGUAACUGUUCACGUUUCGACGGUAUCUAACCAGAAAGCCACGGCUAACUACGUGCCAGCAGCCGCGGUAAUACGUAGGUGGCAAGCGUUAUCCGGAUUUAUUGGGCGUAAAGGGAACGCAGGCGGUCUUUUAAGUCUGAUGUGAAAGCCUUCGGCUUAACCGGAGUAGUGCAUUGGAAAC
rnacentral:rRNA from 1 species